rnacentral:rRNA from 1 species
CCUACGGGUGGCUGCAGUGAGGAAUAUUGGUCAAUGGGCGGGAGCCUGAACCAGCCAAGCCGCGUGAAGGAAGAAGGCGCCAAGCGUCGUAAACUUCUUUUGUCGGGGAACAAAGGGCGCCACGUGUGGCGUUGUGAGUGUACCCGAAGAAAAAGCAUCGGCUAACUCCGUGCCAGCAGCCGCGGUAAUACGGAGGAUGCGAGCGUUAUCCGGAUUUAUUGGGUUUAAAGGGUGCGUAGGCGGUCCGGAAAGUCAGCGGUAAAAGCCCGGGGCUCAACCCCGGCGAGCCGUUGAAACUGUCGGACUAGAGACGGCGAGAAGUACGCGGAAUGCGCGGUGUAGCGGUGAAAUGCAUAGAUAUCGCGCAGAACUCCGAUUGCGAAGGCAGCUUACCAAACUAUAUCUGACGUUGAGGCACGAAAGCGUGGGUAGCAAACAGGAUUAGAUACCCGUGUAGUC